AUUAGCGCAGUGGUUCCCAACCUGUCUGACUUGUGUCCCCUUAAAAUGAAACAAUGUCAACUUGUGACCCCUUUUCAUAGAUUUAAUACAAAAUUUAUUGACCUGUGAAUGAUUUUCCACUUUCAGCUUUUAGUUUGAAAACACUUUUUAAAAAGGAAUGAAAUUAUUUCAUUUUCACAUGACAGUGUCAAUUACUGAAGAAAAAUCUGAAAAAUCAUUUCAUGUUAAGGUGUAUAAUUUCAGUGUUCCAUUAAUCAUCUCAUGAUCCUUCAAAUUUGUGCAUCUUUUGGGGGAUCUCAGGUUGGAACACUUUGUUAUUGAAUUCACUCCAAACAGGUGGUUUGCUUUCAUUCAAUGAUAUAACACAGGCAGAGUUAAUGAUAUAUCACUCAAGGUAGUGAUAUUUUUCUUCAUAAGUGACUUGCACUGUAUAAGGCUAACAGCAUGUUUGUCAAUAUUAUUUAUUAUUAUGUUAUAUUAGAUUUUUUCUAUAUCAUUUUUGUGAACCUUGCGAUGUAAGAUGUUAUUUGAGAAGGCAAGACACACCUCUGAGGUUGAUGUCAUUAUAUGACUGAUAUUGAACAAAAUAUGGCAUCAUGGAAUUUUGUCAUUCCUUGUAGUGAAUGUGCGUGUGUGUGUGUCAAAGUGGGAGGGUGUAUAGCAUAUAUAGGCUGGUUUCCCAGUGAAAAGUGCUUUGCAAAGUUGCACUUCGCUGUUUUUACGUGGUUUGUUUAUCAAGAGUCACUGAUCAUUAAGCGAAUCAGUUACUGCUGACACGAUGGAUCAUAAACUCAAUGGACUUCUAAGGCACUGUGUACUUGUUUACAUGCUCCUGGAACUCCAGUGGGGGCCAGUGUCUACUGCUCCAAUUCACAUCAGCUGUGGUGACUUAGACCUAGACAAUGCUGAGAGUCUCACAAGGCUACUGGGACAUGAGGACAGAUGACCUACUGAACGAAUAUAUACGUUUUCAUGGACCCAGGACUGGAUCAGUUCCAAAUGAUGUCCCUGAUUCCACAGUAUCUGGUGUCAGCAUUUUUGAGAAGCUGCAGGACAUCUACAUCAAGAAUGUGCUGUUUUAUUUGCACAUUUUAAAAGUAGAAGAAUAUAAUAUAAAAGUCUGGGGCAACCCAGAAUAUAUUGCUGGGAAUUUGAGUCUCGUCAACGGUAGAAUCAACCACCAUUUAGUUAAAAUUAAGACUAUUCUCAAAAAACUCUACCCUGAAAUCGCUUUGCCAGCAACACCAGCCCCACCACAGUUGUCCCACGAUGAAUAUGCUAACAAAGAAUAUGGAUGGGGGGUCAUAGUAUCAGUGAAAGCCUGGCAUGAACAAGUGCUGCAAGUAAUUGAGGAGAUGAAGAAGAUGUGUGACCAACCAGCAGCAGGUGGUGGCACUUCAUCAGUUGAAGACUGAGAAAAUAUAUCUGAGGAUGUUACUUGGUAUCCUUGUCCUCCCUAAUAUUCUGAGCCAUGCUUAUUUUUAUUUUCAUUUUAGUUUGUGUUUUUUUUUACUUAUACCCUGGUAUGAUCAGGUAAAGUAACUCUGGGAAUUCCAUCUCUGGUUAAUACCAGAGUGCCAUUAAGUUUUGGAGAUCUAUGUACUUGGGGUCAAAUUUUGGUGCUGAAAUUAUCUUUGGGUUUAUGUAAUUAUAUCAGUUUUUAUUAAUGGAUAUUUAUUUAUUUAUUUAUUUAAAAUACAAACAUUUGUGUGCUGCAUCUACAUUCAGCAGAAUCUAAUGUAACUUAGGUUAGAAUUAUUUACAUAUUUAUUGAAUAUGUGUAUUUAUUUUCUGAAAAGGGCUGAUGAUUCUUCUUCUUAUAAAUCUUAUUAAUCUUAUUAUUUGUAUUGUUAUUGACCACGACACUUUAUUUAUAUAAUGUAGCACUUAUCCAAAACCAGUAUUUACAAUGUACAUAGCAGGGGGAAAAAACAUGAAGAUGAGAUUCAUUACAAGCUUGUGAAAAGGCUGCCUACAUUUUCACUAGGCCCUGUUUCCCAACAUUAAUGGUUUGUAAUUUUUUUAAAGAAUGUGUUAGAUAAUUUAUUUCUGUCCUAUGUUUGAGUCAAUCCGUUAUUUAUUAAUUUAUUAGUUAGGUAACAAAACUGUUGUGUAAUUUUAUUUUUGUUUGUUUAAUUUAUUUUCCUGUGAAGGUGUAGGUAGUCUGCUCAAUCAGUGUGAGUGGAAACAGGUUUGCAUCAUCAGGUCCUCUCAGCAGUGAGGGGCUGGGUGCUGUCAAGUUGUGGGAAGGAGGGUAUGAAUGUUAAAAGUAAAUUACAUUCAGUAAA